rnacentral:rRNA from 1 species
UAGUCCACGCCCUAAACGAUGAAUGUUAGUCGUCGGGUAGCUAGUCUAUUCGGUGAUGCAGCUAACGCAUUAAACAUUCCGCCUGGGGAGUACGGUCGCAAGAUUAAAACUCAAAGGAAUAGACGGGGGACCCGCACAAGUGGUGGAGCAUGUGGUUUAAUUCGAAGAUACGCGAAGAACCUUACCUAGCCUUGACAUAUAUUAGAACACUUUAGAGAUAGAGUGGUGCCUUCGGGAGCUUUUAUACAGGUGCUGCACGGCUGUCGUCAGCUCGUGUCGUGAGAUGUUGGGUUAAGUCCCGCAACGAGCGCAACCCUCGUCACUAGUUACUAACGGUUCGGCCGAGGACUCUAGUGAGACUGCCUUCGCAAGGAGGAGGAAGGUGAGGACGACGUCAAGUCAUCAUGGCCCUUACGGCUAGGGCAACACACGUGCUACAAUGGCAGGUACAACGGGCAGCUAAACAGCGAUGUUAAGCGAAUCCCUUAAAACCGGUCUCAGUUCGGAUUGG